CCGUGCUAGGUGGGGCGCUGCCGGUGCCCUCUUCCCGAAAUCCGGCUUAUGCGGGACUGAAGGCUCCUGGAGGCACGCGGGGCGGUGGGCUCUGUGUCGUCGGAUCAUAUUGACGGUUGGGUCCCAUGCAGUGGAACCGAUGGACAGCGGGUCAGGACCGAGAGGUAGCAGCCCAUUCAUCGCGUUUCAGGUGCCCUGGGGUCGCCCGGCCUGAGUGAUCCGCAGCGCAUCUCAACACCCGGCGUUUCGAUAGGAGAUGCACGG
rnacentral:SRP_RNA from 1 species